rnacentral:tmRNA from 1 species
GGGGGCGACUAGAAUCGACGGGAUCCGUGUGUCGGAAGGUCGCAGGCCCUGGUUGGUCGAAGCCAGGAUAAAACUCGGCCAAACAACAACUGCCAACUCACCGUUGGCCUGGGCGACUGCCUAAACCGCAGUGCCGUCCACGUCGGCCCGCCGAAACCUGCUGAGUGGGACCCGGCGUCGAUUAGCAGGCAUGGAGCCGUACCGCGCGCCUCGUCGGCGCGGCUCCGAGAACAAACGAGGCUAGCCUCGGGGGCACUGGUCCGGAGGGUUCCCCGGGGCGAAACACAAGCCGGACUAAGCCUGUAGGGGCCGCCGAGAGCGGAUGUCGGACGCGGGUGCGAAUCCCGCCGCCUCCACCA